AAGUCCAUCCUAAUACCCACUGGUUUGUUGAUGUACCUGCUGGGUUUCGCUUGUGGACCACAUUAAUUGGAGAAGUGUCAACUCGUUUGUGGUUUUGUUUAAAUAACCAAAACUUUUAUGCAGACUUCUCUGAACAA